GCGAACCGCCCGUCCCCUGCCCCCCAGCCUCCGAGCUUCAUGACCGCAGCGCCACCUCCGAGCUCCGUGAUCGUAGCUCGCCCGCUCGCCCACCACAAUCGCAACUGCCGAGUCAAUUCUCACGCCACCUAUAACGUCAUGAGAGGGCACGGGCCUAUGACUCUCGGCGAUGAUUCAGGUGGCGGUUGUUGGGAUUGCGCUCCUCUCCGCAAUCGUCGCCUCGUGCGCCACGCCGCCUCACUCUACUUCGUCAUCGACACCGUGGGGAUUGGGUUUGACUUCGUGCGCCGCUACAUCUCCUUCCGUGUGUGUGCCCCUGCCCUCGACGAGCCCGCCGCAUCGCUCUCCUCUAUCGCUGCGGGUGGUGCUGGGGGAGCGGAUUCGGGCAGGUCGCCCACAUGGCAUGGACCUCGACUCCAGUCAGCAGGUUAGGCUUCCAUCUCAACUCUGGUGACCUUUGCACCGACAAAACUUUUUGAGUGUUUUGAUAGAUCUCGUGUUGUUUUCUUGGUGGCAGGUUCAGUCGUCGUGCUCGCCUUCCUCUCGGGCCUCGGUCUCUCUGAUGCUGACAUCACUGCUGUCGUCGCCUAUGACCCCAAGCUUCUCUUCUCCGAGGUCAAGUGCACGCUGGUCUCGCGUCUCGCGGAGCUCUAGGAGCUUGGUCUCUCUUCGACUCAGAUCGCCCACCUCGUACUCGUCGACCCCUCGUGCUUCCGCCGGCCCAUCGUCGCCUCCAAGCUAUAGUAUUACGUCCCCCUCUUCGGUUCCUUUGAGUACCUGCUCCAAGCUCUCAGGAACAAGACCUACCUUCUCAGCUCCGACCUCGAACGCAUUGUUAAGCGCAACGUCGCGUUCCUAGUGGAGUGCAGGCUAGAUGCUUGUGAUAUUGCCAAGCUAUCCAUAGUUGUCCCUAGGCCGAUCACCACCGACCCAGAUCGCGUUCGGGCAGUGGUGGAGCGAGUUGAAGCUAUCGAUGUGCCUCGUGGCGUUGGGAUGUUUAGGCACACAUUGCUGGCUGUUGUAUUGCUUAACGAGGAAAAGAUCAAAGCUAAGGUAGACUUUUUGAAGGCAACAUUUUGGUGGUCGGAUGUUGAGUGAUGGAAUAAGUCUUGAGCAUUUGUGGGGUCUCUAGUGGAGGACUGUGGUUUCUUGUUGCAGCCCCUUUUUGACUACGAGGACAACGUGCAUCUCAGGGACAACAACAGCAACAUUUCCUUUAGCAUCUAGAGGACAGUAGGGGCAUCAGCAUCUCCUUUAGCAUCUAGAAGACAGCAGGAGCCUUUUGACUGUCCUUCUUUAGUAUCUAGAGGACAACAGGGACAACAACAUCUCUAGUGCCAAGGUCUAUUCUGAUUUGUGUUUUGUAGCCA